AGAGUUUGAUCCUGGCUCAGGAUGAACGCUGGCGGCGUGCCUAAUACAUGCAAGUCGAACGCACAGCGAAAGGUGCUUGCACCUUUCAAGUGAGUGGCGAACGGGUGAGUAACACGUGGAUAACCUACCUCAAGGUUGGGGAUAACAUUUGGAAACAGAUGCUAAUACCGAAUAAAACUUCGUAUCGCAUGAUACAAGGUUAAAAGGCGCUACGGCGUCACCUAGAGAUGGAUCCGCGGUGCAUUAGUUAGUUGGUGGGGUAAAGGCCUACCAAGACAAUGAUGCAUAGCCGAGUUGAGAGACUGAUCGGCCACAUUGGGACUGAGACACGGCCCAAACUCCUACGGGAGGCUGCAGUAGGGAAUCUUCCACAAUGGGCGAAAGCCUGAUGGAGCAACGCCGCGUGUGUGAUGAAGGCUUUCGGGUCGUAAAGCACUGUUGUAUGGGAAGAACAGCUAGAGUAGGGAAUGACUUUAGUUUGACGGUACCAUACCAGAAAGGGACGGCUAAAUACGUGCCAGCAGCCGCGGUAAUACGUAUGUCCCGAGCGUUAUCCGGAUUUAUUGGGCGUAAAGCGAGCGCAGACGGUUGAUUAAGUCUGAUGUGAAAGCCCGGAGCUCAACUCCGGAAAGGCAUUGGAAACUGGUCAACUUGAGUGCAGUAGAGGUAAGUGGAACUCCAUGUGUAGCGGUGGAAUGCGUAGAUAUAUGGAAGAACACCAGCGGCGAAGGCGGCUUACUGGACUGUAACUGACGUUGAGGCUCGAAAGUGUGGGUAGCAAACAGGAUUAGAUACCCUGGUAGUCCACACCGUAAACGAUGAACACUAGGUGUUAGGAAGUUUCCCGCCUCUUA
rnacentral:rRNA from 1 species